AGUUGCUAAGACUGGAUAGGAAAUAAAAAGGCAUCUUUUUAUUUUUAAAAGACCUUUUUCGGAAGGUAUGCUUAAAGAGGGGCUUGCGUCACAUUAGUUAGUUGGCAGGGUAAAGGCCUACCAAGACUAUGAUGUGUAGCUGGACUGAGAGGUUGAACAGCCACAUUGGGACUGAGACACGGCCCAAACUCCUACGGGAGGCAGCAGUAGGGAAUUUUCGGCAAUGGAGGAAACUCUGACCGAGCAACGCCGCGUGAACGAUGAAGUAUUUCGGUAUGUAAAGUUCUUUUAUUGAAGAAGAAAAAAUAGUGGAAAAACUAUCUUGACGAUAUUCAAUGAAUAAGCCCCGGCAAACUAUGUGCCAGCAGCCGCGGUAAUACAUAGGGGGCGAGCGUUAUCCGGAAUUAUUGGGCGUAAAGGGUGCGUAGGCGGUUUAAUAAGUCUAUAGUUUAAUUUCAGUGCUUAACACUGUCCUGCUAUAGAAACUAUUAGACUAGAGUGAGAUAGAGGCAAGUGGAAUUCCAUGUGUAGCGGUAAAAUGCGUAAAUAUAUGGAGGAACACCAGAGGCGUAGGCGGCUUGCUGGGUCUUUACUGACGCUGAGGCACGAAAGCGUGGGGAGCAAACAGGAUUAGAUACCCUGGUAGUCCACGCCGUAAACGAUGAGUACUAAGUGUCGGGAUUACUCGGUACUGAAGUUAACACAUUAAGUACUCCGCCUGAGUAGUACGUACGCAAGUAUGAAACUUAAAGGAAUUGACGGGACUCCGCACAAGCGGUGGAUCAUGUUGUUUAAUUCGAAGAUACACGAAAAACCUUACCAGGUCUUGACAUACUCUGCAAAGCUAUAGCAAUAUAGUGGAGGUUAUCAGGAAUACAGGUGGUGCAUGGUUGUCGUCAGCUCGUGUCGUGAGAUGUUAGGUUAAGUCCUAAAACGAGCGCAACCCUUGUCAUUAGUUGCCAGCAUGUCAUGAUGGGCACUUUAAUGAGACUGCCAAUGAAAAAUUGGAGGAAGGUGAGGAUCACGUCAAAUCAUCAUGCCCCUUAUGAUCUGGGCUACAAACGUGAUACAAUGGCUGUUACAAAGAGUAGCUGAAACGCAAGUUUAUAGCCAAUCUCAUAAAAGCAGUCUCAGUUCGGAUUGAAGUCUGCAACUCGACUUCAUGAAGUUGGAAUCGCUAGUAAUCGCGAAUCAGCAUGUCGCGGUGAAUACGUUCUCGGGGUUUGUACACACCGCCCGUCA
rnacentral:rRNA from 1 species